AGAGUUUGAUCCUGGCUCAGGAUUAACGCUAGCGGCAGGCCUAAUACAUGCAAGUCGAGGGGUAACAGGGUAGCAAUACUGCUGACGACCGGCGCACGGGUGCGUUACACGUAUGCAACUUACCUUUAACUGCGGAAUAGCUUCGAGAAAUCGAAAUUAAUACCGCAUAAUAUUCUUGAAUGGCAUCAUCCGAGAAUUAAAGCUCCGGCGGUUAAAGAUAGGCAUGCGCGACAUUAGCUAGUUGGUGAGGUAAUGGCUCACCAAGGCUACGAUGUCUAGGGGGUCUGAGAGGAUGAUCCCCCACACUGGUACUGAGACACGGACCAGACUCCUACGGGAGGCAGCAGUAAGGAAUAUUGGACAAUGGUCGCAAGACUGAUCCAGCCAUGCCGCGUGCAGGAUGACGGCCCUAUGGGUUGUAAACUGCUUUUGUACGAGAAAAAACCUCUUUACGUGUAAAGAGCUGAUUGUAUCGUAAGAAUAAGGAUCGGCUAACUCCGUGCCAGCAGCCGCGGUAAUACGGAGGAUCCAAGCGUUAUCCGGAUUUAUUGGGUUUAAAGGGUGCGUAGGCGGACUUGUAAGUCAGUGGUGAAAGCCCGCAGCUUAACUGCGGAACUGCCAUUGAUACUGCUAGUCUUGAGUAUAGUUGAGGUGGGCGGAAUGUGUCAUGUAGCGGUGAAAUGCUUAGAUAUGACACAGAACACCGAUUGCGAAGGCAGCUCGCUAAACUAUAACUGACGCUGAGGCACGAAAGUGUGGGUAGCAAACAGGAUUAGAUACCCUGGUAGUCCACACCCUAAACGAUGAAUACUCGAUGUGUGCGAUAUACAGUACGCGUCUAAGCGAAAGCAUUAAGUAUUCCACCUGGGGAGUACGGUCGCAAGAUUGAAACUCAAAGGAAUUGACGGGGGCCCGCACAAGCGGAGGAGCAUGUGGUUUA
rnacentral:rRNA from 1 species